GACGAACGCUGGCGGCGUGCUUAACACAUGCAAGUCGUACGAUGAACCCGGAGCUUGCUCCGGUGGAUUAGUGGCGAACGGGUGAGUAACACGUGAGUAACCUGCCCUUGACUCUGGGAUAACUGCGGGAAACUGUAGCUAAUACCGGAUACGACCCUCGGCGGCAUCGCCAGGGGGUGGAAAGCUUUUGCGGUGUGGGAUGGGCCCGCGGCCUAUCAGCUUGUUGGUGGGGGGAUGGCCUACCAAGGCGACGACGGGUAGCCGGCCUGAGAGGGUGACCGGCCACACUGGGACUGAGAUACGGCCCAGACUCCUACGGGAGGCAGCAGUGGGGAAUAUUGCACAAUGGGCGCAAGCCUGAUGCAGCGACGCCGCGUGAGGGAUGACGGCCUUCGGGUUGUAAACCUCUUUCAGCACCGACGAAGCGCAAGUGACGGUAGGUGCAGAAGAAGGACCGGCCAACUACGUGCCAGCCGCCGCGGUAA
rnacentral:rRNA from 1 species